rnacentral:rRNA from 1 species
GCUGGCGGCGUGCCUAAUACAUGCAAGUAGAACGCUGAAGAGAGGAGCUUGCUCUUCUUGGAUGAGUUGCGAACGGGUGAGUAACGCGUAGGUAACCUGCCUUGUAGCGGGGGAUAACUAUUGGAAACGAUAGCUAAUACCGCAUAACAAUGGAUGACACAUGUCAUUUAUUUGAAAGGGGCAAUUGCUCCACUACAAGAUGGACCUGCGUUGUAUUAGCUAGUAGGUGAGGUAACGGCUCACCUAGGCGACGAUACAUAGCCGACCUGAGAGGGUGAUCGGCCACACUGGGACUGAGACACGGCCCAGACUCCUACGGGAGGCAGCAGUAGGGAAUCUUCGGCAAUUGGGGCAACCCUGACCGAGCAACGCCGCGUGAGUGAAGAAGGUUUUCGGAUCGUAAAGCUCUGUUGUAAGUCAAGAACGAGUGUGAGAGUGGAAAGUUCACACUGUGACGGUAGCUUACCAGAAAGGGACGGCUAACUACGUGCCAGCAGCCGCGGUAAUACGUAGGUCCCGAGCGUUGUCCGGAUUUAUUGGGCGUAAAGCGAGCGCAGGCGGUUUGAUAAGUCUGAAGUUAAAGGCUGUGGCUCAACCAUAGUUCGCUUUGGAAACUGUCAAACUUGAGUGCAGAAGGGGAGAGUGGAAUUCCAUGUGUAGCGGUGAAAUGCGUAGAUAUAUGGAGGAACACCGGUGGCGAAAGCGGCUCUCUGGUCUGUAACUGACGCUGAGGCUCGAAAGCGUGGGGAGCGAACAGGAUUAGAUACCCUGGUAGUCCACGCCGUAAACGAUGAGUGCUAGGUGUUGGAUCCUUUCCGGGAUUCAGUGCCGCAGCUAACGCAUUAAGCACUCCGCCUGGGGAGUACGACCGCAAGGUUGAAACUCAAAGGAAUUGACGGGGGCCCGCACAAGCGGUGGAGCAUGUGGUUUAAUUCGAAGCAACGCGAAGAACCUUACCAGGUCUUGACAUCCCGAUGCUAUUUCUAGAGAUAGAAAGUUACUUCGGUACAUCGGUGACAGGUGGUGCAUGGUUGUCGUCAGCUCGUGUCGUGAGAUGUUGGGUUAAGUCCCGCAACGAGCGCAACCCCUAUUGUUAGUUGCCAUCAUUCAGUUGGGCACUCUAGCGAGACUGCCGGUAAUAAACCGGAGGAAGGUGGGGAUGACGUCAAAUCAUCAUGCCCCUUAUGACCUGGGCUACACACGUGCUACAAUGGUUGGUACAACGAGUUGCGAGUCGGUGACGGCAAGCUAAUCUCUUAAAGCCAACCUCAGUUCGGAUUGUAGGCUGCAACUCGCCUACAUGAAGUCGGAAUCGCUAGUAAUCGCGGAUCAGCACGCCGCGGUGAAUACGUUCCCGGGCCUUGUACACACCGCCCGUCACACCACGAGAGUUUGUAACACCCGAAGUCGGUGAGGUAACCUUUUGGAGCCAGCCGCCUAAGGUGGGAUAGAUGA